GACGAACCGUGCGAACGUUGUUCGGAAUCACUGGGCUUAAAGGGCGCGUAGGCGGCUUGGCAAGUGGAAGGUGAAAUCCCUCGGCUUAACCGAGGAACUGCCCUCCAAACUGCUUGGCUUGAGACCGGGAGAGGUGAGUGGAAUUCCCAGUGUAGCGGUGAAAUGCGUAGAUAUUGGGAGGAACACCAGUGGCGAAGGCGGCUCACUGGACCGGUACUGACGCUGAUGCGCGAAAGCGUGGGAGCGAACGAGG
rnacentral:rRNA from 1 species